AUUGAACGCUGGCGGCAGGCCUAACACAUGCAAGUCGAGCGGAUGAAGGGAGCUUGCUCCUGGAUUCAGCGGCGGACGGGUGAGUAAUGCCUAGGAAUCUGCCUGGUAGUGGGGGAUAACGUCCGGAAACGGGCGCUAAUACCGCAUACGUCCUGAGGGAGAAAGUGGGGGAUCUUCGGACCUCACGCUAUCGGAUGAGCCUAGGUCGGAUUAGCUAGUUGGUGGGGUAAAGGCCUACCAAGGCGACGAUCCGUAACUGGUCUGAGAGGAUGAUCAGUCACACUGGAACUGGGACACGGUCCAGACUCCUACGGGAGGCAGCAGUGGGGAAUAUUGGACAAUGGGCGAAAGCCUGAUCCAGCCAUGCCGCGUGUGUGAAGAAGGUCUUCGGAUUGUAAAGCACUUUAAGUUGGGAGGAAGGGCAGUAAGUUAAUACCUUGCUGUUUUGACGUUACCAACAGAAUAAGCACCGGCUAACUUCGUG
rnacentral:rRNA from 1 species